AUGGCAGUCAGCUUAUUCUCCUUGUGGGCUGAUGAAGUGAGUGGCCUCCAAGGUGAGGGACCACAUGAUGGGAGAAUUUGCUGGAGAAAUCUGGAGACGUACAGAUUAAGGACAAGAUGGAUGCAAAAUAACCUUGAAGGAAAUUGGGGUUUGUCUUGUGGUUGGGAGCCUCCUCUCACCCAAUGUGUGAUACCGCUGGCUGCUCACCACCCUGUGCAUACAGUGUGCGACAUAGCGGUGGUAGAUCGAGCUGGUUUGAAAAGCCUGGUUUGUGUGUUUGGUGAUAGACCUGAGCUUUUGCUCAGGCAUUUCUGAGGUUUCCUAUGGAUUUUCUGCAGCUUGAAAUAUCCCUGCAUGACUCCCUUCCAAAAGACCUCCCCUCCAAAUAUGUAUCGUAGCAUGUUUGAUAUUGGCUCUGCUUGUGAACGCACCACCAAUAUUUUGAGCUAUGUCUUUGUUUCUCCAGCACAAUUUCCCAUUUGGGUACUGAAGUUAGGCUAAUGUGGAGUGCUUUAGAGAAUCUCACCAUACCAACUCUGGGUCUUUCUACAAUAAUGUAUGUGACAAAUUCAAUUGUUAAAAGCCCUGGGCUAUAUUUUCAACUAGCACUGUGCUAGCUGUUUUUAGGUUUAAUUAUUUCUGUGGCACUAAUGUUCUCUAAAAGUAGUACCGUUGUACCGUGAUGGUCUAAAGAGAUUAAGGGAGGGAGUUUUUAUGAGACCAGCCAGUAUAAAUGGUAAAAACAGAUGAGUUUUUAGGCACAAAAAGUAUCAAUUUGACCUUACAUUUAAAAGCCCCUUCACAUACCAUGUUUUCCUCAGACUCUCAUUACUUCUACUGAGAGCGAUGUUAGAUCAAUAACGUUCGCUUUUCCGGGAAUGCUUUUCUAAUACACAGAAUCUGAAUAUCAUCAAGCGAUUACAACUUACAGCUGAGGAAACUCAGGCCCAGAAGGGGCAGGUGGUGGGCAUGUGGGGGCUGAGUCAGUCAGACAUCUCAGCAGCACUUGUGCUGGGUUUUAGCUUUGAACAACCGUUGCCUCCUCCCUUUUCUCUAACAAACUUCUGACUUUUGUUGUCAGCUGGAAUCUUUUGUGCAUGUCACAGACUUCCUGUAAGUUCGAGUGAUGUGCCCUGCUUGAAUCCAGCCAUGGAGCCAUGAGUUGUUGCUGGUCCCAAAGGUACCAGGUACAUUUGUGAUCCACUUGCAGGGGGCUGUGUUCUCCCCCAGGGAGCAAGCUGCAGAAAAGUGUCAUAUUUAAUCUAAUGAAAGGAGCUUUUUAAGAAAUUCCAGCUGAAUGGGAAGCCAAUCCCUACUUAGUUUUCUACUCUAAUGGCAACUGUGGGCAAAGAUGUUUUUGUUUCUGUGAAUUUUCAUGUGAUUUCUUGUUUCUGUGCUACUGGUAGGAGACAGGCAGGGCCUGAGCUAUCAGUUCCUGCUGCUGAUGUUCCUCAGGAAAUCUCUCAGAAGUGAUUGUACCAGCUGGCAGGAAUAAGCCUUCAGGUGCCAUCACUCCAAUCGCCGUCCUUUAAACUGAUGGGUAAUGCCCUGGUUAGAAAUACGGAAGGCAGGAGCCUGUAUGGUUUUGCUCUGCUGUGAUGGGAACCUCUCAAGCAGUGCUCAGGCACUGUGCACUGCUGUCUGCAGCACUGGGAACUCUUAUGCUUAAGGAAGAGGGCUGUUCUCAUGGGGUUAUGGUUAUCUGAGCCUGACCCUGCAGGGAGAACAGUACUGACAGUAACUUCAAAACAGAUCCUCUCCAGUCCAGCUCUUAUAUUGCUUCUCAAGCACCUGUGAGGGGCGGAAUAAAAAAUGCUCAGCUGGUCUAACUAUAGGUAUU
ensembl:lncRNA